rnacentral:rRNA from 1 species
GACGAACGCUGGCGGCGUGCUUAACACAUGCAAGUCGAACGGAAAGGCCCUGCUUUCGUGGGAUGCUCGAGUGGCGAACGGGGGAGUAACACGGGAGUAACCUGCCCUUUACUUUGGGAUAACUUCAGGAAACGAGGGCUAAUACCGCAUAUGAUCUCCUUCCGCAUGGUGUGGGUCGGAAAGUUUUGGCGGUUGGGGAGGGAUUCCGUGCUUAUCAGCUUGUUGGUGGGGUAGUGGCGUACCAAGGCUUUGACUGGUAGGCUGCCUGAGAGUGUGUCCGGCCACAUGGGGACUUGGGUAGGGCCAAGACUCCUAUGGGGGGCAGGAGUGGGAAAUAUUGCAAAAUGAGCGGAAGCCUGGUGAAGCAAUGCCGCGUGCGGGAUGAUGGCCAUCGGGUGAUCAGCCGCUUUAGCCUGAGAAGACGCGUGAGUGACGGUAAUGGGUAAAGAAGCACGGGCUAAAUACGUG